AAAUUUUACAUUCAGUAGGACAACCGGAAGCGCCUGAGUAAGGAUUUCGGCGCUCAGUGAUACGGUUCACUAGACGACGUUGUCAACACGUAAUGGCGGCCAUUAUUUGACGUCGGAUUUGGCAUUCCUCGUUGAAAGUUGCAUUUAUGACAUUCUUGGAUGCUUAAACUUUGUGCCACACAACAUAAAAGAUAAAGCUUUAUUCCAGAUAUUGCAGGUAAUUAUUUUCAAAGAAGUCGUAUCCCAAGAAAUGAUUUAAACGGCAAAAAUAAAGUGUAAAAUAAUAUGAAACAUGAAUAUUGAAAUCCAAGUUUUCAUCAUUUCCUUUUCAUGUAAUGAAUUUACUAUUUAUCACUUUUAUUAUUUUAUUACAUUCGGAUUUCGGUCUGGGGUAUCCGCCCUUGUCUCCGAGAAUAUUUAUACCCACUGUCAACAUCCGUUUUCAAACUGGACAGACAAAAUUAAAAAAAAGUGUUCUUCACGAUCUCCCUGGAAAUAAUUCGAAGCAAAUAAUUCACGCUAUCACUUUGUGAACAUUAAUUGUAAACACGAAACUGCAAAUACGGACCAAAACGAAUCAAAUUUGAAAGCGUGGAUGAUAAUGUUUCAUGCCGACUGUAAGUUCUCUAAAAAAGGGGGUGGGGUGGGUAGGUACUUUAUGAAUUUUGCUGCACGUCAAAGACGUCCAUGUACUAAAUCAUUAGAAUGUAAGACAUAUUCACUUUAACUCUUGGCUACUUUAUACCUGGUCUUAUAUAAAUAAAUUCCCAUUUUAUCUGGGAACAAUUAAUUUUAUCUUCAUUAUAAACUAACUAUAUAUCUAACUAAUUUUAUUCAGGAUAAAAUCCAGUACAAAAGGAUCAUCGCUGAAACACAUGAACACAUAUAAAAACAUAUACAAAACAAAACAACAAUAAAACAUAACAGCCAAAACUUUUGACACUUAUAACAACAUGAACAAGCAAGAGACAAAACUCAUUAUAUGUUUAUGUGUUAAGAAUCAGAAUGUAUUGUGUAUUGUUGUCAUUAUUGCCCGUCAGGGGCCCUUAAUUGGAAAUAUAAAGAAUUUUGAACUUUUAUAUGUCCCUGAUUUCAUUUAUAUAAUACAUGUACACUCAAGUUUAAUAUUUUAUCUAUAAAGGAAUUAAAUCUUUUAUGAACACAAAUUGAUACAAUACAAAGGGAAAGGGAUUAUAGGCACUUGUUUCUGACAAAGGGGGUUCACUAUCCAUACUCUUCUUUCCCAUAUAUAAAAAAAUAAACCAGAUACAUGUAGUAUCCCCAUUGUAAUUAACCAAUCACCCGUCACCCAUUCAAGAGCUUACACAGUGACAUACAUUUACAUGUCAGACCAGAAACUAACAAAUUUCAGUGGCAAAACCAGAACUUUUCAUAAAAAGGGGGGGGGGGGGGCUCCAGUCCCUAUAUUAUCAACCAAAUUUUUUCCAACAAGGUCUCAAUAGUCAUGACAGUGGUGGUUCCAUGAUUUUAAUUUAGAAAAACUGGGUUGUGAGUGGGAGCCUGUAAUUCAGUGGUUGUCGUUUGUUUAUGUGUUACAUAUUUGUUUGUUCGUAUUUUCAUAAAUAAGGCCUUUAGUUUUCUCGUUUGAAAUGUUUUACAUUGUCUCAUCGGGGCUCUUUAUAGCUGACUAUGCUGUAUGGGCUUUGCUCAUUGUUGAAGGCUGUACAGUGACCUAUAGUUUUUAAUGUCUGUGUCAUUUUGGUCUUUUGUGGAUAGUUGUCUCAUUGGCAAUCAUACCACAUCUUCUUUUUUAUAUUAUACAUAAAAAAUAAAUUUUCAAGACUUGGAAAUAUUUUCUUUGCCCAUUAUUGCCUUUAACUUUUAUGUAUUGAGCAAAAUGCUUGAGGCAUAAUUAUUUUAAUACUUAGUAAAAACAUGUAUUUUCUUGGUAAAUCAUAUGGCAAAUUUGUAUUAAUGUGUUGAUAAUAACAAUGCAAAGUUUAAUUUUGCUUUGAAUAAUUUAGUAUAUAAUUUAUUUAGUAAUUGUAUGUACAUUUGCUUUAUAUUUACAGGAAGGAGAAAGAUGUUCACUAUGAAUCAAAAUUCAAUACAUAGGACUUUUAUAUAUAUAUCAACAAAAAACACUUGUACAUGUACAUGUGUAUGUGUGAUAUACAUACAUGUACAACAAGAAAACAGUAAUCAAAUGGAAUGUCAAUGACCAGUGUCCAAUAAUGUUGAAAGCAAAAUGAUUUUGAUAGAAAACAAUAGGACUAGAAUAUAUUAAGG
rnacentral:lncRNA from 1 species